CGCUGUCACAGUCGCCUUGCCCUGCCUUGCCUCUCUGCCUACUCUGCGUUCCCCGCUGGGAGGAGGGUCUGGUGAUAAAAUAGCGGCGAGACUGUAGAAAUGAUGUUAGACAAAAAACAAAUUCGAGCAAUUUUCUUAUUCGAGUUCAAAAUGGGUUGUAAAGCCGCGGAGACAUCUCGCAGCAUCAACAACGCAUCUGGCCCAGGAACUGCUAACGAACACACAGUAGUGCAGUGGUGGUUCAAGAAGUUUCGCAAAGGAGAGGAGAGCCUUGAACAUAAGUAGCAUAGUGGCUGGCCAUCAAAAGUUGACAAUGACCAAUUGAGAGCAAUCAUUGAAGCUGAUCCUCUUAUAACUACACAAGAAGUUGCCGAAGAACUCAGCAUUGACCAUUCUACAGUCGUUUGGCAUAUGAAGCAAAUUGGAAAGGUGAAAAAGCUUGGUAAGUGAGUGCCUCGUGAACUAAGCAAAAAUCAAAAAAAUCGUGGUUGUGAAGAGUCAUCUUCUCUUAUUCUACAUAACAACAGUGAACCAUUUCUCAAUUGGAUUGUGAUGUGCCACUAAAAGUGGAUUUCAUACGACAGCCAGUGACAGCCAGCUCAGUGGUUGGACCAGGAAGCUCCAAAGCAUUUCCCAAAGCCAGACUUGCACCAGAAAAAGGUCAUGGGCACUGUUUGGUGGUCUGCUGCUGUUCUGAUCCCCUACAGCUUUCUGAAUCCUGGUGAAACCCUUACAUCUGAGAAGUAUGCUCAGCAAAUCAAUGAGAUGCACCAAAGACUGCAAUGCCUGCAGCUGGCAUUGGUCAACAGAAAAAGCCCAAUUCUCCACGACAGUGCCCGACCACACACUGCACAACCAGCACUUGGGAAGUUGAAUGAAUUGGGCUACAAAGUUUUGCCUCAUCCUCCAUAUUCACCUCACCUCUCUCCGAACGACUACCACCUUCUUCAAGCAUCUUGACAACUUUUUGCAGGAAAAACGCUUCCACAGUCAGCAGGAUGCAGAACAUGCUUUCCAAGAGUUGGUUGAAUCCCGAAGCAUGGAUUUUUAUGCUACAGGAAUAAACAAACUUAUUUCUCAUUGGCAAAAAUGUAUUGAUUGUAAUGGUUCCUAUUUUGAUUAGUAAGAUGCGUUUGAGCCUAGUUACAAUGAUUUAAAAUUCACAGUCCAAAACCACAAUUACUCUUGCACCAAGCUAAUACCACACAGUGCCCAGUGUAAUUUCUUGGCAUGAGAGCAUUUAUCGUUGAACUGAAUUGUUGAACCAUCAUGUUUUCCACCAGAGAGGAAACUCCUUUAGAGCAGUAGAUCAUAUGUUAUACUCCUUUGUCUCUCCUGAAGUUUAUAGUGUAGUGACAUAGAUGAUUAAUUCAAAGGAAGAUAGAUGUAUAGAUACAUGCCUUAGAACUUACUUGCUUUACAAUAGAAGUUCAGAGAAAGGAAACAUUGGGGCAGGGGAAUGUGGACAAGUCAGAGGCUUUUGAAGGAAAUGAUUUUGAGCCAGCCCUUAAGGAAUGGAUAUGAUUUUAAGCAUGUUGAGAGGGACGAUGUCUUGAGAAAAAGUUCAUAAUGGAAAAUAGAACCUCUCCUAGAACACCAGUCUCAAAGUGGGUCCAUAGCCUAGGAACAAUUGGAAUAUUUCAUGAAUAUCUCUAGGGCUACUUCGAAAUCAAAGGAAAUAAAGUGUUCCAGUUGUUUCUGAGUCUUCGGGCUGGAGAAGAGGUGGUGGUAAAGAUGGGUGUUUACUAAUUUGCCAACUAAAACUUUAGACACUGGGUAGAAGGUGCAAAUAUUAGGUUGGUGCAGAAGUAACUGCAGUUUUUGCCAUAUUUUAAUGACAAAACUGCAGUUACUUUUGCACCAACGUAAUACAUGUACAGCCACUACAAACUUUGGAUAAAAGGUGCUAAGUAGGAUCCCACAGUUUUCUUGGUGCUGUACCAAGCACUGCAUAACACACAGAAGCAAAGGGGGCACUGGCAGUGGCAAAAGGUAAAGAGAGCCUCUUUGAAGAACACAGCUGGGGCUCUAUUCAUUUUUUCGCUUUUUAUUUUGAAGUAAUUAUAGGAAGUUGCAAAAAUAGAACAGAGUUCUGUGUACCGUUGCUUCCCCCAGUAGUAGCAUUUGAUAUUGUUGCAUAAUAUCAAAAUUAGGAAAUUGACAUGUUGACUACAGACCUUACUGGUUUUUAUCAUAUUUUUUACCUGCAUUUAUUUGCACACGUGUGUGUAUGCAUGUAGCUCUAUGCAAAAUUCCAUACAUAAAUUUGUGUUACCAUCACUGCA